AGAGAUAUGGUGUAAUGGUAACACAGCAGAUUUUGACUCUGCAAUCCUAGGUUCAACUCCUAGUAUCUCUUCCA
rnacentral:tRNA from 1 species